GUGAGGAAUAUUGGUCAAUGGGCGGGAGCCUGAACCAGCCAAGUCGCGUGAAGGAAGAAGGAUCUAUGGUUCGUAAACUUCUUUUGCAGGGGAAUAAAGUGCAGGACGUGUCCUGUUUUGUAUGUACCCUGAGAAUAAGGAUCGGCUAACUCCGUGCCAGCAGCCGCGGUAAUACGGAGGAUCCGAGCGUUAUCCGGAUUUAUUGGGUUGAAAGGGUGCGUAGGUGGUGUGAUAAGUCAGCGGUGAAAGUUUGCAGCUUAACUGUAAAAAUGCCGUUGAAACUGUCGGACUUGAGUGUAAAUGAGGUAGGCGGAAUGCGUGGUGUAGCGGUGAAAUGCAUAGAUAUCACGCAGAACUCCGAUUGCGAAGGCAGCUUACUAAGCUACAACUGACACUGAAGCACGAAAGCGUGGGGAUCAAACAGGAUUAGAAACCCGGGUAGUCC
rnacentral:rRNA from 1 species